AUGCAGGCCCCGACGGAAGCCGAGACUGCGCUUCGUGCGAGGCCCGGGCAGCAUCGGCGGCGUGGUCAGAGCGAGUCUCGGAGAAGAUGUGGUGGCUUCCGUUUGUUGGUGGAGGAGGUGGCAGGCCUCGGCGGGUAACCCAGAGAACACAGCCGAAGUGGAAUGUGGGGACGUCUGCGACACCGGGGACAGAGCAACUGUGGAUGAAGAGGGCUACAUCUGGUUCCUGGGGAGGAGUCAUGACACUAUCAAUGCCUCUGGGUGGUGAAGGCAUUGAUUGUCCUGACCCCACAGUUUCUGUCCCAUGACAAGGACCAGCUGACUAAGGAGCUGCAGCAGCAUGUAAAGUCAGUGACAGCCCCAUUGACUCACAGAUUCAUAAGACCUGAGACGGACGUGCAUUUUGGGAGAUCCAACUUUAGGAUAUGGGCUCACUGUCUCAGCACAUGCAGACCAGGCCUGAACUCUAUUCAAGAAAGCUGCCUGCCAGUUUAUAGCAGGGGUUAGCAAACCUUUUCCAUGAAGAGCCAGUUAGGAAAUGUUUGA
rnacentral:lncRNA from 1 species